AGUGAACGCUGGCGGUAGGCCUAACACAUGCAAGUCGAACGGCAGCACAGUAAGAGCUUGCUCUUACGGUUGGCGAGUGGCGGACGGGUGAGGAAUACAUCGGAAUCUACUUUUUCGUGGGGGAUAACGUAGGGAAACUUACGCUAAUACCGCAUACGACCUACGGGCGAAAGCAGGGGAUCUUCGGACCUUUCGCGAUUGAAUGAGCCGAUGUCGGAUUAGCUAGUUGGCGGGGUAAAGGCCCACCAAGGCGACGAUCCGUAGCUGGUCUGAGAGGAUGAUCGGCCACACUGGAACUGAGACACGGUCCAGACUCCUACGGGAGGCAGCAGUGGGGAAUAUUGGACAAUGGGCGAAAGCCUGAUCCAGCCAUGCCGCGUGGGUGAGGAAGGCCUUCGGGUUGUAAAGCCCUUUUGUUGGGAAAGAAAAGCGGCAGAUUAAUACCCCGCUGUUCUGACGGUACCCAAAGAGAAAGCACCGGCUAACUUCGUG
rnacentral:rRNA from 1 species